AACGCGAAGAACCUUACCUGGGCUCGAAAUGCUAUGGAUCAGCUGAUGAAAGUCGGCCUUCCCGCAAGGGACUGUAGUAUAGGUGCUGCAUGGCUGUCGUCAGCUCGUGUCGUGAGAUGUUGGGUUAAGUCCCGCAACGAGCGCAACCCUUGUCCUGUGUUGCCAUACCGAAAGGUGGAACUCGCAGGAGACCGCCAGGGAUAACCUGGAGGAAGGUGGGGAUGACGUCAAGUCCUCAUGGCCUUUAUGUCCAGGGCUACACACGUGCUACAAUGGACGGUACAAAGGGCUGCCAACCCGCGAGGGGGAGCCAAUCCCAAAAAACCGUUCUCAGUUCGGAUUGCAGGCUGCAACUCGCCUGCAUGAAGCUGGAAUCGCUAGUAAUGGCGGAUCAGAACGCCGCCGUGAAUACGUUCCCGGGCCUUGUA
rnacentral:rRNA from 1 species